rnacentral:lncRNA from 1 species
UUAAUGAUAAUUAUUAUUGGUAAUAUUAAUUACAUUUAAACAAAUUUAAUAAUAUUCUUCUCUUAUUUUUCAGAGAAUCAGAACCUUCAGAGACUUUCGGCUAAUCCAUUGAACUGGACUGUCGAUGAAGUAAUAAACUACAUUGUUAUUAUGGACCCAGACUUGGGUCGGGAUAUGCAUUCAUUUAAAAAACACAGAAUUAAUGGCAAGAGUCUAUUUUAUCUUAAUACCGAUAUAAUAACAAAAAAUAUGGAAUUAAGAUGUGGCCCAGCCGUAAAACUUAAUAACAAAGUAAUACAAUUGUAACUAAUUUCUCCGUCACAUUUUUUAUUUUUUAAAUCAAUCUGUUUAUAAAUAUAGAAUAAUCGAUCUAACCUCAGAUGCAGAUACAAACAAUAUUAAAGGAACAAAAAAAGCAUCAUCCAAAGUAACAGAAAGAAUAGGUGCUUUUAAUGAUAAUUAUUAAUGGUAUUAUUAAUUAUAUUUAAACGGAUUUAAUAAUAUUAAUACUUCUUAUUUUACAAAGAAUCAGAACCUUCAAGAACUUUCGAAUCCAUUAAACUGGACGGUCAACGAUGUAAUAAACUUCAUUGUUAGUACGGACCCAGAUUUAAGUCAAAAGAUGUACUUGUUUAGAAAACACCGAAUUGAUGGCAAGGCUCUGCUUUUAUUGAGUACUACAAUAAUGACAAGGAAUAUGAAGUUAAAAUGUGGCCCAUCUUUAAAAAUAAAUUUUAUGAUGAAACGUUUAAAAAGAGAGAGCGAACUUUAUAAUGAUUAUGAAGACUAGAACCAGGAAAUCGAUUUCCAUGGUUUUGAGUGAGACGAAAAUCUGUUAGAAAUGUAGUACCAAAUAGUGGGGAAAUAACAGAAAUAGGUACUCUUAAUGAUAAUUAUUAUUGGUAUUAUUAAUUACAUUUAAACGAAUUUAAUGAUAUUCUUCUCUUAUUUUUCAGAGAAUCAGAACCUUCAGAGACUUUCGGCUAAUCCAUUAAACUGGACUGUCGAUGAAGUAAUAAACUACAUUGUUAUUAUGGACCCAGAUAUGGGUCGGGAUAUGCAUUUAUUUAAAAAACACAGAAUUAAUGGCAAGAGUCUAUUUUAUCUUAAUACCGAUAUAAUGACAAAAAAUAUGGAAUUAAGAUGUGGCCCAGCCGUAAAACUUAAUAACAAAAUGCAGAUAUAAACAAUAUUGAAGGAACAAAAAAAGCAUCAUCCAAAGUAACAAAAAGAAUAGAGAAUCAGAACCGUUCGAAUCCAUUAAACUGGACAGUCAACGACGUGAUAAACUUUAUUAGUACGGAUAAUACGGACCCAGAGUUAAGUCAGGAGAUAUACCUAUUUAGAAAACACCGUAUUGAUGGAAAGGCUCUACUUCUAUUAAAUUUUAAAAUAAUGACAAAAACUAUGAAACUAAAAUAUGGCCCGAGCUUAAAAAUAAAUUUGAUGAUAAACAAUUUAAAAAGAGAAAGCGGACUUUAUGAUUAUGGAGACUAGAACCAAGAGAUUUCCAUGGUUUUGAGUGAGACGAAAAUCUGUUAGAAAUGUAGUACCAAAUAGUGGGGAAAUAACAGAAAUAGGUACUCUUAAUGAUAAUUAUUAUUGGUAUUAUUAAUUACAUUUAAACGAAUUUAAUGAUAUUCUUCUCUUAUUUUUUAGAGAAUCAGAACCUUCAGAGACUUUCGGCUAAUCCAUUGAACUGGACUGUCGAUAAAGUAAUAAACUACAUUGUUAUUAUGGACCCAGAUAUGGGUCGGGAUAUGCAUUUAUUUAAAAAACACAGAAUUAAUGGCAAGAGUCUAUUUUAUCUUAAUACCGAUAUAAUGACAAAAAAUAUGGAAUUAAGAUGUGGCCCAGCCGUAAAACUUAAUAACAAAGUAAUACAAUUGUAACUAAUUUCUCCGUCACAUUUUUUAUUUUUUAAAUCAAUCUGUUCAUAAAUAUAGAAUAAUUGAUCUAACCUCAGAUGCAGAUAUAAACAAUAUUGAAGGAACAAAAAAAGCAUCAUCCAAAGUAACAAAAAGAAUAGGUGCUUUUAAUGAUAAUUAUUAAUGGUAUUAUUAAUUAUAUUUAAACGGAUUUAAUAAUAUUAGUACUUUUUAUUUUACAGAGAAUCAGAACCGUUCGAAUCCAUUAAACUGGACAGUCAACGACGUGAUAAACUUUAUUAGUACGGAUAAUACGGACCCAGAGUUAAGUCAGGAGAUAUACCUAUUUAGAAAACACCGUAUUGAUGGAAAGGCUCUACUUCUAUUAAAUUUUAAAAUAAUGACAAAAACUAUGAAACUAAAAUAUGGCCCGAGCUUAAAAAUAAAUUUGAUGAUAAACAAUUUAAAAAGAGAAAGCGGACUUUAUGAUUAUGGAGACUAGAACCAAGAGAUUUCCAUGGUUUUGAGUGAGACGAAAAUCUGUUAGAAAUGUAGUACCAAAUAGUGGGGAAAUAACAGAAAUAGGUACUCUUAAUGAUAAUUAUUAUUGGUAUUAUUAAUUACAUUUAAACGAAUUUAAUGAUAUUCUUCUCUUAUUUUUCAGAGAAUCAGAACCUUCAGAGACUUUCGGCUAAUCCAUUGAACUGGACUGUCGAUGAAGUAAUAAACUACAUUGUUAUUAUGGACCCAGAUUUGGGUCGGGAUAUGCAUUUAUUUAAAAAACACAGAAUUAAUGGCAAGAGUCUAUUUUAUCUUAAUACCGAUAUAAUGACAAAAAAUAUGGAAUUAAGAUGUGGCCCAGCCGUAAAACUUAAUAACAAAGUAAUACAAUUGUAACUAAUUUCUCCGUCACAUUUUUUAUUUUUUAAAUCAAUCUGUUCAUAAAUAUAGAAUAAUUGAUCUAACCUCAGAUGCAGAUAUAAACAAUAUUAAAGGAACAAAAAAAGCAUCAUCCAAAGUAACAAAAAGAAUAGGUGCUUUUAAUGAUAAUUAUUAAUGGUAUUAUUAAUUAUAUUUAAACGGAUUUAAUAAUAUUAGUACUUUUUAUUUUACAGAGAAUCAGAACCGUUCGAAUCCAUUAAACUGGACAGUCAACGACGUGAUAAACUUUAUUAGUACGGAUAAUACGGACCCAGAGUUAAGUCAGGAGAUAUACCUAUUUAGAAAACACCGUAUUGAUGGAAAGGCUCUACUUCUAUUAAAUUUUAAAAUAAUGACAAAAACUAUGAAACUAAAAUAUGGCCCGAGCUUAAAAAUAAAUUUGAUGAUAAACAAUUUAAAAAGAGAAAGCGGACUUUAUGAUUAUGGAGACUAGAACCAAGAGAUUUCCAUGGUUUUGAGUGAGACGAAAAUCUGUUAGAAAUGUAGUACCAAAUAGUGGGGAGAUAACAGAAAUAGGUACUCUUAAUGAUAAUUAUUAUUGGUAUUAUUAAUUACAUUUAAACGAAUUUAAUGAUAUUCUUCUCUUAUUUUUCAGAGAAUCAGAACCUUCAGAGACUUUCGGCUAAUCCAUUGAACUGGACUGUCGAUAAAGUAAUAAACUACAUUGUUAUUAUGGACCCAGAUAUGGGUCGGGAUAUGCAUUUAUUUAAAAAACACAGAAUUAAUGGCAAGAGUCUAUUUUAUCUUAAUACCGAUAUAAUGACAAAAAAUAUGGAAUUAAGAUGUGGCCCAGCCGUAAAACUUAAUAACAAAGUAAUACAAUUGUAACUAAUUUCUCCGUCACAUUUUUUAUUUUUUAAAUCAAUCUGUUCAUAAAUAUAGAAUAAUUGAUCUAACCUCAGAUGCAGAUAUAAACAAUAUUGAAGGAACAAAAAAAGCAUCAUCCAAAGUAACAAAAAGAAUAGGUGCUUUUAAUGAUAAUUAUUAAUGGUAUUAUUAAUUAUAUUUAAACGGAUUUAAUAAUAUUAGUACUUUUUAUUUUACAGAGAAUCAGAACCGUUCGAAUCCAUUAAACUGGACAGUCAACGACGUGAUAAACUUUAUUAGUACGGAUAAUACGGACCCAGAGUUAAAUCAGGAGAUAUACCUAUUUAGAAAACACCGUAUUGAUGGAAAGGCUCUACUUCUAUUAAAUUUUAAAAUAAUGACAAAAACUAUGAAACUAAAAUAUGGCCCAAGCUUAAAAAUAAAUUUGAUGAUAAACAAUUUAAAAAGAGAAAGCGGACUUUAUGAUUAUGGAGACUAGAACCAAGAGAUUUCCAUGGUUUUGAGUGAGACGAAAAUCUGUUAGAAAUGUAGUACCAAAUAGUGGGGAAAUAACAGAAAUAGGUACUCUUAAUGAUAAUUAUUAUUGGUAUUAUUAAUUACAUUUAAACGAAUUUAAUGAUAUUCUUCUCUUAUUUUUCAGAGAAUCAGAACCUUCAGAGACUUUCGGCUAAUCCAUUGAACUGGACUGUCGAUGAAGUAAUAAACUACAUUGUUAUUAUGGACCCAGAUUUGGGUCGGGAUAUGCAUUUAUUUAAAAAACACAGAAUUAAUGGCAAGAGUCUAUUUUAUCUUAAUACCGAUAUAAUGACAAAAAAUAUGGAAUUAAGAUGUGGCCCAGCCGUAAAAAUUAAUAACAAAGUAAUACAAUUGUAACUAAUUUCUCCGUCACAUUUUUUAUUUUUUAAAUCAAUCUGUUCAUAAAUAUAGAAUAAUUGAUCUAACCUCAGAUGCAAAUAUAAACAAUAUUGAAGGAACAAAAAAAGCAUCAUCCAAAGUAACAAAUAGAAUAGGUGCUUUUAAUGAUAAUUAUUAAUGGUAUUAUUAAUUAUAUUUAAACGGAUUUAAUAAUAUUAGUACUUUUUAUUUUACAGAGAAUCAGAACCGUUCGAAUCCAUUAAACUGGACAGUCAACGACGUGAUAAACUUUAUUAGUACGGAUAAUACGGACCCAGAGUUAAGUCAGGAGAUAUACCUAUUUAGAAACCACCGUAUUGAUGGAAAGGCUCUACUUUUA